rfam:Haliaeetus albicilla contig24058, whole genome shotgun sequence.
CCAACGGCUCUUUUAAGAGCCACCCAAAUUAUCUCAAAAAGGGCUG